CGUCGCAUGGCGCAGUCGGUAGCGCUUUAGUCUUCUGACAGAACGGUCCUGGGUUCGAACCCUCUUGUGGUCA